rnacentral:lncRNA from 1 species
UCCCACCUUUUUCUUUUUCUUUUUCUUCUUUUUUUUUUUUUUUUUUUUUUAGAAUACACUCCAGAUACCACCUCAAUGGUUUCGCAUGUUCUCACUUUACCAUUCUGUAGUUUAAAAUAUAUCAUUUUACCGCUUUGUGAUUUUAUUUUUCUCUUCUUAUCAGUAUCUUUAUUAACUCUCUGUUAAAUCGUAUAUACAAAAAAUCUUCAGAUACUUCACCUAUAAUUUAUCGAUUAUUCACUCUAGUACGUUGUGGUUUACCGCAUUUUUACUUUAAUUUUUAAUGAUGUUAACUUUUGUCACUGAUUUAAUAGAAAAAAUAAUAUAAGGAAUAACGAAAAGAGAAAAAUAAAAUCGGAGAUGCUAAAGUGAUAUAUUAAAGUGAGAAAACACGAAAUACUAAAAAUGGUAUUUGAAGUUUUUUUUUUUUAUAAUUAUUAGUAGCUGUAAUUAAUUAACUUGGGAAAAAGAUAAUG